CAGAAGCAAGAUCUCAGAGAGGCAUUCAUUCUCUAGCUACACUGAAGAGAGGCAGCAGUUUGAGACUUGGUGAGGAGCUUGUGCAUGGAUCACCCUUUCAACCUGAGGUAGUAGUAAGACCUAGUGGCCAUCUGUCUUGUUUUUCCUGAUAUUCAGCUUGAAAUUUGAACCCCAAUAUCAGUCUCUGGGUCAUUUAUUUAUUCAUGUUACAUAUAGGAUUGGAUAUAUGAAGACGAUGAGUCAUUUAGUUCAAGGAAGGAGUAAGACUGGAAUGAUGCUUCAUCUACAUGAUAGGAAAAAAAUAGAAAUGAGCCACACUGAAAGGUGGUCUGGUGUUUGGCAGGAGCAUCUUUCCAGAUGAAUGAUUCUGCCAAGAAGAAGGACAACUGACUUGUGAGCCUAUCACUCUUAACAGCAGGAUUCUCAGUGCUUCUAGCAAUAGUGGGGAGGGAGUCUGGACUGUCCUGCUGUAAUCAGACUGGUGAAUAACCCAACUAUCAUCAUAGAGCCUUCAUCCAAUAACUGACGGAACCACAUGCAGAGAUCCACAACCAAGCACCACAGACUGCAAAAAGUAUGCCAAUGAUUAUUUUGAAAUAAACUGCCGAUUGGUUAGUUUUACACCAACUUGAAGCCACAGCUAUUUGGCAAGCAGAACUCAUUUUUUCUGUUUUAUAUUUGUUUGUUAUUUAAAACAAUGGUAUUUCACAUACCAAUCCCAUUUCCCCCUCCCUCUUUUCCUCCCACAUCCCCCACCAUCUCUCUACCCCAACCAUCCAUGCAACUAUAAGAUCAACCCAUAAGAUCAACCUAUAGGUAAGUCUGUCAGAUAUUUCCUUGAUUAAUGAUUGAUGUGGGAGACCCAGCUCACUAUAGUUACUACCAGCACAGAACACAAAGUCGUGGAUUGUAUAGGAAAGCAGCUCAGCAUGUUAUGAGGAUCAAGACUCUAUAGUCUCUGCUUAAGAUCAUGCCUCAAACUUCCUGCUUUGAGUUCAAAUGAAAGGAACCAUUUCCUUCCCCAGGUUGUUUUUUAUUAUAGCAUUUUGUCAUAACAUUAGAAACCAAACUAGGACAACCUUAAAAGUGUGUAUACACAAAGAUUCUACAUUAGGCUAACUUUGCAUAUUUGACAUUAAAGUCUCAUAAGAAACACAA